rnacentral:rRNA from 1 species
UGGGGAAUUUUGGACAAUGGGCGAAAGCCUGAUCCAGCAAUGCCGCGUGUGUGAAGAAGGCCUUCGGGUUGUAAAGCACUUUUGUCCGGAAAGAAAACGCCGUGGUUAAUACCCGUGGCGGAUGACGGUACCGGAAGAAUAAGCACCGGCUAACUACGUGCCAGCAGUCGCGGUAAUACGUAGGGUGCAAGCGUUAAUCGGAAUUACUGGGCGUAAAGCGUGCGCAGGCGGUCCGCUAAGACAGAUGUGAAAUCCCCGGGCUUAACCUGGGAACUGCAUUUGUGACUGGCGGGCUAGAGUAUGGCAGAGGGGGGUAGAAUUCCACGUGUAGCAGUGAAAUGCGUAGAGAUGUGGAGGAAUACCGAUGGCGAAGGCAGCCCCCUGGGCCAAUACUGACGCUCAUGCACGAAAGCGUGGGGAGCAAACAGG